rnacentral:snoRNA from 1 species
AAGACCGAACUUUUACAGGAUCAUUUCUUUAGUACCUUCUUUUCUAUUUGAAUUUUUACCCUACCCGGAGCCAUUGAUGUAGACGUCGAGCUCGUCUCCGUCCAAUAACUCAAGCUCGGUGAGUGAAAUGGAUGGAGACGAGUUCUGCGACGC